rnacentral:rRNA from 1 species
UACGUAGGGUGCGAGCGUUGUCCGGAAUUAUUGGGCGUAAAGGGCUCGUAGGCGGUUUGUCGCGUCGGGAGUGAAAACUCAGGGCUUAACCCUGAGCCUGCUUCCGAUACGGGCAGACUAGAGGUAUGCAGGGGAGAACGGAAUUCCUGGUGUAGCGGUGAAAUGCGCAGAUAUCAGGAGGAACACCGAUGGCGAAGGCAGGUCUCUGGGCCGAUACUGACGCUGAGGAGCGAAAGCGUGGGGAGCGAACAGG